CCUCAAAAUUUCAGAAAAUUCAAAGUUCCCUCUUUUAUGCAAUUAGCGCCUCUUGUACGCUGCCAAUUAGCGCCUCAUGUAGUUUCUCCUUCGCACAGUUCCAGAUUUCAUGUAGUUUCUAGCUUUAUUCUCCGUUUCUUGGAUCUCAAACAUUUUUCUUGAUUCAUCUACCUUGGCGACCGAAUGUCGAUGCCUUUCUUGGAUCUCCUUAAUUCCGUGGAAAUUACUCAUGACCUUUAAUUUCGGUCUCCAUCAUAGGAAACCUAGGUCGCGAGUCCAUGUUUAGGCCAUCUUUAAUUUGUUCUCCCAAAUGCAUUAUUUUAUUUUUUUAAGCGAUCUCAUGAAUAAGUUGUUCUGUUCGUUGUUGGAGGACUUGGUGGCCGGUGACGAGAAGUGAUGGUGGAGUUGAUGACUAUAGCGCUUGCUUUCUCACCAAAUUGCAAGGUGCUGAAUGAUCUUUUGCCCUCUCUCUCUCUCUCUCUCUCUCUCUCUCUAAAAGUAACACAUCUUUCUUAGCUGUAUAUUUGAGUUUAUUUGGUUAUUUUGAUGCGUGUUUUAUUCGAAAAUUCAUGUAAGUCGAGGGAACGGGUGGCUGUUGAAGCCAUCAUCGUAUGAAGGUAAGAUUUCCCAUCUCAUCCUGAUUCCAACAGAUUUUAAUUUCUCUCUAUUUUUCACUGCUGUGAUUUUCUUUUGGAGAAUUGGGUGGUAUCAUCUUCAAGUUCACGUUCGUAGGUUCACCCCUCUCCUUAAAUUUUCAGAUUCCUCUCCCCUGCAUGUGUUUUUAUCUUCUACCUAUGCUUUCAAUCUUGAUAGAUUUGGGCUUUCUUUCCAGCAUGCUUACAGAUUUGGUCUCUCAUUUAAUCAGCUUUUUGAGAAGGAGUGCUGGAAAUGGAAAACACAGACACAGAGCAAGAAACAGAGUCUACGAUAGUUAUUAAUGGGUAGCAUCUGCAUUAUUUUAAUUUAAACCUUUGUAUCCGUUCUGAGCUUCCCUGUAGCAGUACUCACAUCCCUUUUCGAUUAAUGGAGGAUCCACCAAACUGCGACAACCCAUCAUCAAAAUCGUAGCUCUUGGCUUUGAUGAAAAAUUUAUAAGGACAUGGAAAUAUUACUUUGAAUAUUGUCCAGCUGGUUUUAAGUCUUGUACACUCGGAGUCUAUCAGGUAUUCAGAGAGAUCAUUUCUCGGCUUCUAUCCCUGGUAAUUUAAGCUGGUUGCAUCCAUUUUUUUACUCACCAUAUUUCCCGUUACUAAUUACUAUGGUUUUCUUGAGCUGUGAAAAGCAAGUGAAUACAUCCUUUUAUUGGAACGAUUCAACUUAUUGCUUUAAGACCGAAGUAUAUUCUUCCAACUCUUCAUCGUCUUCCCAUGAUAUGCAUAGAUAUGUUAAAUAUCUAGAUAGACCUCCAUAUCCAGGGCAGGUGGAGGAAUCUUGUCGAAUAGAGCAAAUAUCCCUAAUAUCGAGGGAAGGCCGUCAAUAUAUCCAAAAACUGCUUCCUGCGAAGAGAUUCGAAACGAAUUGUUAUGCGGUUUUAAGUUUAAUUGGCUACAUGUUUCUUGUCAAUGCGAGGGACCCAACAAUUGCUACCUCGAUGACGUGAAUAAAAUUUAAUGUGAUAAUGGAUUCUUCAAAGGACUGGCGGACGUAUACAAAGGACUGGUGGAUGUAUACAAUGCAUUCAAAAUUCCAAAUCCAUGAUGGGCGCACUUUGAGAAAUUCUUAUGUCAUGCCUUCUCACCUUCCAGUUGGUGGAGUUAUUGGAUCAAUCUUGGUAGUCAUUUGCUUGUUUUGGGUUGGUCUGGUAGAAGAACUACCCAUGAAAGAAAUGGUCGGAAAGCUAACGACAAACACAAUGUAAAGUAAAAUAAUUAUCCAUGAAGAAGAGCUUUCAUGUAAUGUGAUUUGUGUUACUUUUUUUUUAUUAUUAUAUGAAUAAUGAUCCAUUAUAUCA